AUGAAGGUCCUAAGGAUUGUAAACUUCUUUUAUAUGGGAAGAAAAAAUGGAAUUCUUUCACACUUGACGGUACCAGAGGAAUAAGCACCGGCUAACUCCGUGCCAGCAGCCGCGGUAAUACGGAGGGUGCAAGCGUUAUCCGGAUUCAGUGGGUUUAAAGGGUGCGUAGGUGGGUAAGUAAGUCAGUGGAGAAAUCUCCUAGCCUAACUAGGAAACUGCCAUUGAUACUAUCUGUAGUGAGUAAGAGGGAGGUGGAACGGAAUAGGGCAUCUAGCGGAGAAAUGGUUAUAUAGGGCAACGCACACCAAGUGGGAAGGCACCUUACUCCGCAUUCACAGACAGUGCAGGCAAGAAAGCGUGGCGAUCAAACAGGAAUACCUACCCUGUUCGUCCCCGCCAUAAACGAUGCAUACUGGACGUUUGAGAUACACGUCAGUGUCUAAGCGAAACGCGUUAAA
rnacentral:rRNA from 1 species